AUGCUCCCAGUGGCAGCACAUGUACUAGCACUGGAAGCACACAGAGAAGACUAGCAUGGCCCUGCACAAGGGUGACGUGCAAAUUCAUGAAGUGUUCCAUGUUUUU
ensembl:snRNA LOC120096751 U6 spliceosomal RNA